rnacentral:lncRNA from 1 species
GUCGGCUACUGAGACACUAACGGGCAGGUGGUGUAGACAGUGUGGAUUGGCUGGACAAAGGAAGAGGAGAGGGACGCACAAAGACACAGAUGCAGAUGGGACAAGGUCAUGUGAAGACAAAGGCAGCAGUUUGAGUGAUACAACCUCAAGCCAAGGAACAUCGAGGAUCACCAGUGACAACUGCCAGCUAGGAAGAGGCAAGGAAGGAUUCUCCCCAGAGGCUCCAGAGGGAGCAUGGCCCUGCUGACACCUUGAUUUUGGACUUCUAGCCUCUAGAGCUAUCUAUGAGAUGAUACAUUUCUGUUGCUCAAUCUCCAGCAUCUUCUACGAUGCCUCCUCCAUCUUCUGCCCAGGCCUAAUUAUUACUGUGGAACUGACAGUACCGACUCCUCCCCAGCCCAAUUUUUAUACCAGAAGACUCUACAAAGAUUUCACAAUUAAAGAUGGGCCCAGUGUAAUCACAAGCGUCCUUCAAUGUGGAAGAGGGAGGCAGCAGAGGAGUCAAUCACAGGAAGAUGUGAUAAUAGAAGAAAGACAGAGAGAGGAGAAAUGCUGCUGCCUUUGAAGAUUGAAGAAGGGGCCAUGAGCAAAGGAACACGGGCUGCUCGUAGAGGCUGGAAAGAGCAAGGACACAGUCUCUCCUGGAGCCUCCAGAGGGAACACAGCCCAGCUGACACCUUGAUUUUAGCCCAGUGAGACCCAAGCUGGGCUCUAACCUACAAAACUGUAAGAUACACAUUUGUGUUGUAAAUGUGAAAGCCUUUAAGUCUGUGGUAAUUCUUUGCGGCAGCAAUUGAAAACUCUACAUCAUGUUAUCAAAUUUAAGGACCUUUGCCAAUCUAAAAGUAAUAAACGCUCUCAGUGUAGUUUCACUUUGCAUUUCUCCUAUUAGGAGUGAGUUCAAACAUCUUUUCAUACAUUUAUAUCCUCUCCUGUGAUCUGUUUACUUUUAUAUUGGGUUGACUGGUUUUUGUCUUAUCAAAUUCUAGGAGGAUGUUAUAAAUUAAGGCUCUGUAAUAGGAGUUGCAAAUAACUCCCCCUAGUUUGCCAUUUAUCUUUUGAUGUUGCUUAUGUCUAAUAUUCAUAGUUUUUUAUUUUGUACAGAAGUUUUUAUUUUUACUUAGCUGAAUAUAUCAGUCUUUUCUCCAGGGCUUCUAUUUAUGGGGUCGAAAUAAGUAAAGUCUUUUUCAUGCCAGGUUUAUAAAGGAAUUCUCCUUUGUUUUCCUUUAGUAUUUUUAUUAUUAUUCUAAAAAAUAUUUAACUCUUACAUCCCACUGGAACCCAGACAACAAAACUAUUUUUUGAAUACUUUAUGUUUCUCACCCUGAUUGAGAUGUCGCUUAUAUCAUAAUCCCAAUUCACACAUAUAUUUCCGUGUAUAUCUUGACUUUGUCUUCUGUUCCCUUAGUCUAUUUAUGGACCCAAAUGACAUCACUGAACCCCUGAGAUUUAAUAUUUUAAUAUUUGGUAGGGCUAGUCACUCCUCUUCAUUAUUCUUUCCCCGAGUUUUCCUAGCUAUUCCCAUAAUUUAUUUAAUUAUUCAUAUGAACUUUAGAAUUAAACUGUUUAGUCCAAAAAAAAAAAGGAAAAAGAAGGAUAGAGAAGAGAAAUAAGGAGAAAACAACUCUUCUGGUAUAUUUAUUAAUUGGGUACAUGUUAUAUUUGCAAAUUAGUGAUUUUUAAUAUGUUCCAAUAAUAUUAUUUUGUAUCUUUUCAUAGUUCUUAAAUUUUAUUUGUAUGUUUUACACAUCUUAUCAAUUAUAGUGAUUUUGUCUAUUUGUUUAUAUUAAAAAUUGAGUCUUUUC